UGCUUUAUAAAAAGGAAGCCAUAGGUAGACCAUGCCCAUUUCUAGAGUUUAUGGUCCAAAUUUUGUCUCAAAUUAUAUUUGUCCAGACCCCAAAUCCUAACCCUCCUUUGGAAUCAGAAGAUGUCCAACGACUUUUCAGCAAACAUUUCCCUUCCCAAAUCCCCCCCACACCCUGUAAAAGGUCACCCCAACGAAAAUGAUGUGUUUGCUGGAAAAGAGGAGUCCAAAAG